rnacentral:rRNA from 1 species
GACGAACCGUGCGAACGUUAUUCGGAAUCACUGGGCUUAAAGCGCGUGUAGGCGGAUGGGUGCGUCGGCUUCUGAAAGCCCCCGGCUCAACCGGGGAAGUGGGGCCGAAACGACCCGUCUGGAGGGACGUAGGGGGAUCUGGAACUUCCGGUGGAGCGGUGAAAUGCGUUGAGAUCGGAAGGAACGCCCGUGGCGAAAGCGAGAUCCUGGACGUCUUCUGACGCUGAGACGCGAAAAGCUAGGGGGAGCAAACGGGG